rnacentral:rRNA from 1 species
CAUGUCGUUUUGAUUUUAAUUUAAGGUUUGGCCUGCUCAAUGAUUUAUUAAAUUGCCGCGGUAUUUUGACCGUGCAAAGGUAGCAUAAUAAUUAGUUUUUUAAUUAAAAGCUUGAAUGAAUGGUUGGACGAGAAAAUAGCUGUCUCUUUAUUAUUAUUAUUGAAUUUAAUUUUUUAGUUAAAAAGCUGAGAUUUAAUUAAAAGACGAGAAGACCCUUUAGAGUUUUAUAGAUAAAGAUUAUGUUUAGUUAGGUAUUUUUUUUAUAUAGGAUUUAUUUAUUUGGUUGGGGUGACUGUAAGAUAAAAAUAACUCUUUUGUAUUGGAUCAUUGAUUUUUGAAUUUUUAAUCAAAAUUUUUUUAAAUUAAAAUAAAUUACCUAAGGGAUAACAGCGUUAUUCUUUCUUUGAGUUCUUAUUGGUGAGAGAGAUUGCGACCUCGAUGUUGGAUUAAAAUUAGUUUUUGGUGUAGAAGCUAAAAAACUUGGUCUGUUCGACCUUUGAAAUUUUACAUGAUCUG